rnacentral:misc_RNA from 1 species
AUGGCGUCCGGCGAUGAUCCACCGAAUAGUCGGCUAUUUAUUCUUUGUGGAAAGGGUAUAACAGAACAAGCUAUGCGUGAUAGUUUUAGUAAAUACGGAUCGGUAGAGGAUGUGUGGAUUGUUAAAGACAGACGAACAAACGAAGAAAAAGGUGUUUGCUACAUCAAAUUCUCUAAGACUUCUGAAGCUGCCCAAGCAAUGGAGGAAAUGAAUGGACGUUUUAUUGAAGGACAAGCAAAGCCACUAAAGAUAAUGAUUGCUAACAGCAGGAGAGAAGGCUCCAUGAGAGAUCCAAAAGAAGAAGAGAAAACUCUUCGACUGUUUGUCAUUAUUCCCAGACAUUUUACUCAGGAAGAUGUCAGAGCAGAAUUUGAGAGAUUUGGAGAAAUUGAUUAUGUGAAUGUUUUGAAGGACAAGCAUUCUGGGGAAAAUAAAGGCUUUGCAUAUGUCAAAUAUUUCAGACGUGUUAAUGCUGCAAAGGCUUUUGAAGAAUGUGAUAGGUCUUACAAGCCAAAGUUUGCAGAACCUCAGAGAGGCAAAGAUAGGAGGGAGGAGGAUUUUGGACGCGGAUGGUUUGAAAGAGAUGACAGAGGUUAUAAGAGAGGAUUUGAUGAUGAUUUCUCUGCAAGUGGAUUUCUAAAUCCCAGUCCUGUCCAAGACUUCUUUGGGCUUCCUCAUCAAGUCAUGCCUAGGACGGUGCCCUCCGGUGGACCUGUAGGUUCUCUUGGGCCACUUGACAUGAUAGAAGACUACCCACACAACAACUCACUGCGGCUGCAGAUCGUAGCAGCUAUCGGUCUCUCACAGAAGUAUUUGUCAAAUCUUUUCAACCUUGUUCCCGGAAUGGAGUACUGCGAUCUUAAUGAAACUACAGGCAUUGCUUAUGCUAGGUACACCACCCCACAAUGUGCUGCCUAUGCAAGGGACAAGCUGGAUGGUUUUGAAUAUCCAAUUGGAAGUCGACUUAUUGUGCAGUAUGCUGAUAGCACCCAGCCAUCUAAUCUACAAAUGGCAGCUAACAUGGGCUAUGAGAGGCAAAGAGAUAUGCGGCAACCAGAUGUUAGACAGAAGGCUGCCAUGUUGCUAGAGAAAGCGGGUAUUAACCCGAGUAGUGUGAUGAAUGCUGAACGCGGGAUGGAGAGAGUUCCGUACUGCAACAUUCCUCUGCCAUUGCCACAUCCCCUGAAGCCUGAAGACACUGAGGCCUCUGAGCGACUCUUCAUUGUGUGUCAGCCAUCAUCUGUCCCAGAAAAAGUCCUCAGAGAUGCUUUCUGUCGCUUUGGAAAUCUUAUUGACGUGUACUUGUUGUCAGGGAGAAAUUACGGUUAUGCAAAGUAUGCGACAAAGGAAUCGGCUAUGAAGGCAAUACAGAUGUUGCAUGGCCAGAAUUUGAUGGGUCAAAGGAUUAAGGUUCUAGAGGCUGAGCCACCAAAGAAUGGAGGUUGUGAAGGACCCCCUAAGAAGGCCAGAUACUAAGUAUACACACAGAAAUAUUUUAAUCCAUAUAGACUACUGUUAAGUGACAAAUCAACAACAGCCGCUGUAACUGCCUGCGACCUGAAGUCGGUGUGUAUAUACACUGUUGGUAACAUAGAGCAUGACCACUGUGCUAACAGAGGAAGAAUGCCACAAUGCUGAGAAAAAUAGAAACGAGUAUUACAAUUGUAUUUUUUAAUUUAUACAUGUUUUUUUAAAGAAAAAAUAAAUGAUAAAUUAUU